rnacentral:lncRNA from 1 species
GUGACGUCUUUCUGAACUCCCUCGGCCGUCUGAGCUUCCACAGUACCAUUCGGACUCCUCCAGCAGUUAACCUUCCACAGUGUCCUCCAGAUUCCUUCGAUGGAUGAACUCCUAUCAUACCCUCUGGACUUCUCCAAUAAUGAGCCCCUCCAGUCAUCUAUCGGACUGCUCCAAAUGCUCUCGAAACUUCACUAUCAGUCGAU